rnacentral:tRNA from 1 species
AGUCACCGGCGGUUGUGUCCCGACUUUUAAUCGGUAGGUCCAGGGUUCAAAUCCCUGCGUCCCCA